GUGACUGUGGCUCAGUGGGAAGAGCAGUCGUCUUGCAAUCCAAAAGUUGUGUGUUCAAUUCCAACUUCCUCCUGUCACA